CAUUCUUGCGCAAGGGUUCAGCUGUGCAGAUGGUUGUGAUUGUAAAUGAGAAGAGACCACCCAAACUGGGUCCACGGCUCAUGGUGGCGACGUGGCCCAGCCGUAGAGCGUUUGCCCCUUGUUGGAGAGGAGCAUUCAACAAAGGAAGAACUCGGUGGAAGCCCACGCAGAACAGGGUGAGAAACGUACAAACUCCACGGAAAAAGGCGCUCGUGUAGAGAAUCAAACUCAGGGCAUUUCUGGUGCGAGGCACGAGUGGUCACCACUGUGCCACGCUGCGAUUGAAAAGUGUGCAAAGAUGCACUGAGAGAGAUGCACGCUUGGGAUUACACUGAGAUACGUGGAUUGGAGAUCAUACGCCGGGGUUGAACACCAAAUUCAAACGUUACGUCAACCGCCGAGAGAUAGAGCGAUGAAAUCGGCUUGCGGGGAGCCACUACGUGGAUUAUUACAUCGCAGAAUCACGGGACAGAGAUUGCGGCCUCCUCGGGGGGUAGGACUUCAUCCAUCAACGUUUGACCGUGCCUGAUGAUUAUGAUUACACACGCAUAAUCCAUUGUGUGUGAAGCCACGGCCGUGGUAAAUAAUGCAGUGCAAUAUUAUUUUGCAACUCUGACAUUUGGACGCUCGUUAGUAGCUAUAAACCGAAAAAUAAACAUGGAUAUCCACUUUAUAAUAUGUUAAAGCAUACACAUUGGGCACUGUUACAAAGCUCACUGCAUUAUGAACCCAGGCGAUCUGAGUUUAAUUCCCAGCCAGGGGCACUCAUCACUGGCAAGUGAUACAGUAUCUGAACCAGUCCUGAGCAUCUAUUCACCAAAAUGCACUGCCCAGUGUGAUACUAUAUGGUUAAACAACCCUCGUUGACAAGAUAUGGGGAUGCUUUCAUCCAGCAGUGGAUUGACAAAGGGACUAUGAUUUUAUUUGGAGAGCGUGGCUAAUCAGAAGGCUACCGAAACAGAGAUAAUUGAAGGGUGCUUUAGAUAUAAUCACUCUGGGGCCAACACUCUAUUAAGAGAGUGUGCUCCUGUGAGUGGUAUGAGCUUCUCGAGGGAGCAUCUGUCAGUUGCGUUUGAUUUAUCAUCGAAGCAAAAUGAAAUGUGCUGUGCCGACCUUGCUUAAUUUUUAUUCCUCAUCAUAAAAAUGUAUUGGCAAACUCCAGCUUGUGAAUUUAUGUUAAUGUAAUUGUUCUCGUGUGAUGCUUGAAUCAUAUUGCAUCUUGUAAACGAGGCAAAGAGUGUAUAAUUGUUAUUCUAGAUUGUGAUCGCUAUGCUAUGUUAUAGGGAAGAGUUUCGGAUUUAAAUGUUUCAGAUUUUGUAUUUCUAAGGACAGUUUUAGGAUAUCUUCAGAUAUCUGGAUUGUUUACGUAAUUAAAUAACUUAACAAGAAAUGACGUCACCCAGUGCCACUUGACACUGCUCUUGGUGGGUAAAGCAGAGAUGUUGCCAUAAUGUGAUGUUGUUUUCUCUGACGUCACAUUUUCAGGUCAAUCCAUAUCUAUGAAUAUAUUUUUUCAGAUCAUCCGACAUUUCAUAUAUAGGCCCAAUAGUUGCCCUUCCCCUGCAACCUCCGAUUAGCACGGUUGGCUACGUGCGGUGGAAAAGAAGUUCUGCAUACAUACCGUGCAUCUAUAUAGGCCCGUUUGUCCGCUUUUUAAGAUUAAUAAAAAAAAUCAGGAACACGUUCUUACUAUCUUGGCCCCUUGCAUUACAUGCAGUCUUUAACAAGUUGACGUUAACGUUUGUUAUUGUUUCGUAAACAAGUUUAAUGCCACAGUGCAAAAGAAGCAAAUCAGACGAAUGGCUGGUACUUAAGUUCUUAGGUGUUAGUGGUGCCCGUCUCAGUCUGGCUGAGGAAAAGUUGACUCCGAUGUAUGUAGCUAACCGUGCAAAUUGGAGGUUCGGGGAAGGACAACAAACUACACACACAAAAAUCAGUUCUAAAGAACCACAUCGGAAGUGGAGAGGUGAUGGACAUGGACGCGCCAGGGCAGAGAUCGAGAGGCAGGAGGCAUGCCUUGAGAGAGGUGGUUUCAAGCGGUAAGCCAAGAUGUGAAGGACUGUGGAGUGGAUUUGGAGAUGAUGACCCAGGACAGGAAUGAGUGGAAGAGGAGGACCAAGAAGGCAGACCCCACGUGGGGUGAAAUUCCAAGAAGUCAAAGGCUGAAAUGAAGCCAUUAAGUCAGUGCUUGUAUGAUAAUUGAUAAAUGGGUGUCCCUUGCCAAUUUACAACAUGAGGUUAAUCAUGCCGAUCAUGGCCGAGCUAGAGGAUACACAACAGUGCAUAUACCAGAGCCUUUCAAAUGUCUGCCCUAAGGCCAUAAUUGCCCUCUUUCAUCAUAAUUUUACAUGGAUUUAUACAAUCCUGUGUAUAUUUUACAGAAUUUUGCAUGACUUGACAUGCCUGAUGCAAUGAACGUGCUGCAUCUGCAAAUGUUUGUUGACGUAUCUUUCUGAAUAUGAAACUUCUCUGUGGCACGCCACUCCUCACUUUGACCGUGGAUCUCUCUCCGUCCUAGAUCUCCGUGACCACUCCCACUGCUUUGGACACCAACGACCACGAUACGGUACCCUCCUUAAACAUCUCCAUCCUACGCAGGCAUCUUGCCCCUGAGCGGCAGGAAGGCUGCAAGGGGCCAUGCCCCCCCCCCCCCUGAUAAAAGCUCAGUCCCCACCCCCUCCGCUAAAUAGUUUAAAGUCUGUGAAACAUCGCUUGCGCCGUGCCCCCUCUCGUUGUUGAAUUGCCCUCUCCUUUAAACGAGGUGAUGCUUCAGGGCAGUAAGCGUCGCCGGCUCUGCUCUUGCCUCUUAUGGUCUCCUCCGACGUUCUUCUUCUUCGUCUUCUUCUUCUUCUUCUUCUUCUUCUUCCUCUUCUUCCUCUUCUUCUUCUUCUUCCUCUUCUUCUUCUUCUUCUUCUUCUCAGAAACCCCCUGUGCUACGGUGUCCCACAAACUUUCAUGCUGGGCCCUUUGCUCUUCUCAAUGUCUCUCCCUCAUAGCUCUCAUGUCUUUAGAACUGCUUUUUGUCUUUAGUUUAUUGUCCUUGCCACGCACGUCUCAUGAGCACGGUGCAAAAUAAGUUCAACAUACAUACCACGUGGUGAAAUUCAUCUCCAGCAUUCAUGUCGAGCGUCACUUCAAUUGCUUGAAGGUACCGACGUCUUCUUCGUAUUCUUGUCGUACGGCUGCUCAUGUAGAUGCAGAGCAACAACUGUGAUUUAACAUUCAGGUGGUCAAGCGAGACAACUGCUUCAGAAGCUAGCGGAGGAGUGCAUCAGCGCGGUGAUGUGCAUCGGCUGUCCGCAUCUACUGUCAUGGUGUGUGUAGUGGAUGCGGUUCAUGUUGGAACAUGAGCUUCGUGGAAGAACAAACUCAGGGAUCUUCUGCUUUGAGUCGAAGUGUGGAAAACCUCAACACAUUUUGUAAAAAAGACAGGUAAAUGAAAAGUAGUUUGAUUUGUAGACGAAGCUGCAUUCAUAUUUGGUAAACAUACAUACCACAAAUCUUAUGUACAAAUAGGUAACGUCUCUGGUGUGUUUGGUUCUGGAUGACUCGGAUAUCUUGUAUGUGUGGUGAAGGUUGUUUAAUAAAAAAGCAUCUUAUCAGUAUGGUAAACAGCAGGCAUCAUCUAGGAAACAAAUGUUAAAUACAAUUGAGCAAACAUCUGAAUGAGAGCAAAGCGUAGGUUUUCACGGUUGUGUUGCCAGUCAUCUCGGCCACUCAACCGCAUGGCGCCUGGGUCUGUCCCGUGACCUCCUGCCAGCGAGCCUUCGACACUUCACGUGGCCGAAAAAUGCACCUAGCCUGGCACAAGCAACGGUGGUGACAUCACCAUCCCCUUAGGGGCAAAUGUCGGCUGUUGUUGCUGCUGCGUCGCUCUGUCGUGUUGACGGAUUAUGCUGCGUGUUGUUCGGGAUGCCAGACGUCUCGCUCUACGUGGUGUGAGAUUAUUCAGGAACUGUGCUGCACCCUGGGAGCUCUGCUAAGUUGCUGAGGAAACUCCUAGCAUCUGGAGCGAAACGUCAGACAUCGUGCUAAACAACAGCUCGAUGCAACUGAGAACACAUUGGAGAGGUAUCUGAAUGACAGGCUGAGUAAUCAGAAAUGAAUGAUGAAUUUUGACAGGAUGGACAGGAGGGUUGAAUGGGAUACAUUUAUUAAAAACCAAGGAAUUGGUUGAGUGUUUUUUUUAGGAGAUCUGGGAAGAGGAGACCCGGAAACAUUGGAACCUUCUGAGAGAGGGUGGGGAUGGUGACGUUUGUAAUGUACGUGUGUAUGUUGAACUUAUUUCGCACCGUACGUAGCC